GACUUUAUAUUUUGUUUAACGGCUGCGGAAUAUUUACCGUACGAAGGUAGCAUAAUCAUUUGCCUUUUUAUUGGGGGCUAGCAUGAAUGGCUUGACGAAGGCCCAUCUGUCUCGGGGUAGAUUAAGAAGAAUUUAUACUCCAGGUGAAGAUUCCUGGAUUGUGUUUAGGGACGAGAAGACCCCGUUGAGCUUUAAUGAGAUAUUAGGUACUUCCUAAUAAGGAUUUUUAGUUGGGGUGACUGAGGAAUAAAAUUAACUUCCUUUCGCAAAAUUAGUUCAUACUUGUAGUGAUCCACUCUUAGUGAGAACAGG
rnacentral:rRNA from 1 species